AUUGAACGCUGGCGGCAUGCCUUACACAUGCAAGUCGAACGGUAACGCGGGGCAACCUGGCGACGAGUGGCGAACGGGUGAGUAAUGCAUCGGAACGUGCCCAGAAGUGGGGGAUAGCCCGGCGAAAGCCGGAUUAAUACCGCAUGAGACCUGAGGGUGAAAGCGGGGGAUCGCAAGACCGCGCGCUUUUGGAGCGGCCGAUGUGAGAUUAGCUAGUUGGUGGGGUAAAGGCCUACCAAGGCGCCGAUCUGUAGCUGGUCUGAGAGGACGACCAGCCACACUGGGACUGAGACACGGCCCAGACUCCUACGGGAGGCAGCAGUGGGGAAUUUUGGACAAUGGGCGCAAGCCUGAUCCAGCCAUGCCGCGUGCGGGAAGAAGGCCUUCGGGUUGUAAACCGCUUUUGUCAGGGAAGAAACGCUCUGGGCUAAUACCCUGGGGUAAUGACGGUACCUGAAGAAUAAGCACCGGCUAACUACGUGCCAGCCGCCGCCGUAA
rnacentral:rRNA from 1 species